rnacentral:rRNA from 1 species
GUGAAGAAGGCCUUCGGGUUGUAAAGCACUUUCAGUUGUGAGGAAAAGUUAGUAGUUAAUACCUGCUAGCCGUGACGUUAACAACAGAAGAAGCACCGGCUAACUCCGUGCCAGCAGCCGCGGUAAUACGGAGGGUGCGAGCGUUAAUCGGAAUUACUGGGCGUAAAGCGCACGCAGGCGGUUUGUUAAGCUAGAUGUGAAAGCCCCGGGCUCAACCUGGGAUGGUCAUUUAGAACUGGCAGACUAGAGUCUUGGAGAGGGGAGUGGAAUUCCAGGUGUAGCGGUGAAAUGCGUAGAUAUCUGGAGGAACAUCAGUGGCGAAGGCGACUCCCUGGCCAAAGACUGACGCUCAUGUGCGAAAGUGUGGGUAGCGAACAGGAUUAGAUACCCUGGUAGUCCACACCGUAAACGCUGUCUACUAGCUGUGUGUGCCUUUAAGGCGUGCGUAGCGAAGCUAACGCGCUAAGUAGACCGCCUGGGGAGUACGGCCGCAAGGUUAAAACUCAAAUGAAUUGACGGGGGCCCGCACAAGCGGUGGAGCAUGUGGUUUAAUUCGAUGCAACGCGAAGAACCUUACCUACACUUGACAUGCUGAGAAGUUACUAGAGAUAGUUUCGUGCCUUCGGGAACUCAGACACAGGUGCUGCAUGGCUGUCGUCAGCUCGUGUCGUGAGAUGUUGGGUUAAGUCCCGCAACGAGCGCAACCCUUGUCCUUAGUUGCCAGCCUUAAGUUGGGCACUCUAAGGAGACUGCCGGUGACAAACCGGAGG